UACUAGCGGUCCAAGUCGUAGCCACAAUUAUUGGGUCUAAAACAUCCGUAGCUUGUUUGGUAAGUUUCUUGUAAAAUUCUAUAUCUCAAGUAUAGAGCAUG
rnacentral:rRNA from 1 species